rnacentral:sRNA from 1 species
GAUGGGCAUGGUGGUGCUUGCCUGUAAUCCCUGCAAUUUGGGAGGCUGAGGCAGGAGGAUCCCAAGUUGGAGGCUGACCUCAGCAACUUAGUGAAGCUCUCAGCAACUUAGUAAGACCCUGUCUCAA